UUGGUUUAAAAUGGGAUGGUAAGAUACUGCAGUUUAUCAGUGACUUUUCUAAAGGGUGCAAACGUAUUGUAAUAGAAAACUGCAAGAGAAAAAACACGGAUGUGUUGCUGUCGCUGUCCUCUCAGGCUGCUCUCUGCAGCCAUGUGGCGCAGCGCAGAGAUGUUCUCCGUUACAAAACCCUCGGUGAGUUUGUGAUGCUGGUGACGGACACGGUGCCGGACCUGCUCGAUGCAAAGCAGAAAGGCAAGUUACUGCUGCGACUGCGAGCCGGAGUUAUUUUUGAGUUGUGCAGAAGUGCAGAAACAGCCAAACUUAAAGUUCAUGUCAGUAACAUCUAUGUCAAUGAUUCAAUUCAGGACAGAGAAUCAGCCAGGCAGAAAUUCACAGAGCCAAGAGCACUUUCUAUAAAAACAAAAGGAGCACACUAAGCUAAUGGUAACUGGUUCCGCUAACGGCUUUGUCCAGGCAAGAGACAAAGCUAAAGACAAGUCUGUGAGUCAACACAGUUAACGGCAGCAAUGACUCCAUGCAGGUGCAACAGUUGAGAUGUCCACCCAGGUCUUCUCCUGCUCUGAGUGUCCGUUUUUCCACAUGCAGGAGUCGUUCCUCCUGCAGCGCAUCAUGUAACUCAUGUAAAGCACUUUGAAUUGAAUUGCUUUGUUGCUGAAAAUGUGCUAUAUAAAUAAAAUUACCAUCACCACAUCGAGCACAGUCACCCAGAGCAGAACAACAAACUCCAGGUGACCGCAAAGAAGACUCCGGCCCCACAGCCCUUCCCCAUCCACGACAGGCCGGAUCCUCAUACGUGCCCGGACUGUGGCAAGACGUUCAGGUGGGCCUCAGAUGUGACUUGUCACCAGCGCACCCACACGGGUGAGCUGAGAGGAAUGCAGCAAGGCCUUUAAGAACUCCUGGGAUCUGACGAGACAUCAACGCGUCCACACCAGAGAGCGUCCCUUCCUCUGUUCCCAGAGCGGCAAACGCUUCACCCAGAUGGGGUUCCUCAGGCUGCAUUUUGACCGCACCGCAUGCAGCUGGACCUGCAACUCUCUGCUGGACUUAAUCAGGGGGGCGGUGGACACAGAGGAGACUCCCUGCAAAGAAGGCAGGGAGUACAAGUGCCAGAAGUGCGGCGAGGGCUUCAGCAGCAUCUUGGAGCGCCUGAGGCACAGGCAGGCGCACGUGGUGAGGCGGCAGUACAGAUGCUCCCAGUGCGAGAAGAUCUACAGCCGCGCCUCGGACCUCAAGAGGCACCAGAUGAAAUACAGCAGAUAAAACAGAAUUUGUCAGGUCUGAAUGAGUGUGAAAUUUUAAAAGAAUAUGGAAUAAUGUUAUUUCCAGACUUUAUUUCCUAUCCCAUUGUCUGAAGACUGUAUCCUCCAUCUGUGUUUAGCCACCAUCUAUUAAUUAUCUACCACUUUCCUUCUUCCUCUUCGUCCAUCUGGUCUGCUGAAAUCUGAGCAGAUCUGUGUUGAAAAUGUGCAGGAUCCCAUUAUUAAGGUAGGGUGUACUUCAGAACUACAGUACUUAAAAACAUGUCAGUGUUUGGUGAUGCCACACGCAGGCUAGUAGAAAUAAAGAGCAAGUUCUGUUUGGCACUUCUUUUCCGUCAAAAUCUGGAUGAACUUCAGAGGCAUAAAGGACUUAAAGUCAUUAGCUAUUUUUACUUACAGUUGAAGGAAACUUGGCUCAAUGAGCUUUUGUUUGGCUCAGUGGUCAACCCUCUCUUUCAGAUUUCUGUUCAGAUUAAUCUCACUACAAAUAAGGAAAGUGUCGGCACUGUAAGUGAAACAUUUUUUCCACAGUGCUGCAUGUGGUUUUGUAGACAUGCAGGUAGUUGGACAAUUCUCCCUGCAUAUGCUCGUAGUGUUGCAAUAGCCAGAGGCUGCUCCCGUCACAUCACAAGACAACCGCAAUCAAAAAGCACUGACUUUAUAUCAACUAUUUUCACGAGAAAGUAUUAACAUCAACAUUUAGCUUCCACUUGUUUCUUAAAGACUAAUUCAUAGCAUGCUACUUUAAAAAUAGUGAGUCUGUGCACAACCCAUGUCUUACUCCAAGCUCAUCUCAAAAGCUGGCGAGUUUGUUGGAAAUAGUUUAAUGAAGAAAUAGACACAUCAAGA